GUGUCAGCCGCCGCGGUAAAACGUAGGAGGCGAGCGUUAUCCGGAUUUACUGGGUGUAAAGCGUGUGCAGGCGGACCGGCAAGUUGGAUGUGAAAGCUCCUGGCUUAACUGGGAGAGGUCGUUCAAAACUGCCGGACUUGAGUAUGGGAGAGGGAGGCGGAAUUCCGGGUGUAGUGGUGAAAUGCGUAGAUAUCCGGAGGAACACCAGUGGCGAAAGCGGCCUCCUGGCCCAAAACUGACGCUCAGACACGAAAGCUAGGGGAGCGAACGGGAUUAGAAACCCCCGUAGUCC
rnacentral:rRNA from 1 species